rnacentral:rRNA from 1 species
AACGAACGCUGGCGGCAUGCCUAACACAUGCAAGUCGAACGAGACCUUCGGGUCUAGUGGCGCACGGGUGCGUAACGCGUGGGAACCUUCCCUUAGGGUCGGAAUAACUCCCCGAAAGGGGUGCUAAUACCGGAUAAUGUCUUCGGACCAAAGAUUUAUCGCCUUUGGAUGGGCCCGCGUUGGAUUAGCUAGUUGGUAGGGUAAAAGCCUACCAAGGCGACAAUCCAUAGCUGGUCUGAGAGGAUGAUCAGCCACACUGGGACUGAGACACGGCCCAGACUCCUACGGGAGGCAGCAGUGGGGAAUAGUGGACCAUGGGCGAAAGGCUGAUCCAGCACUGCCGCGUGAGUGAUGAAGGCCUUAGGGUUGUAAAGCUCUUUUACCCGGGAUGAUAAUGACAGUACCGGGAGAAUAAGCUCCGGCUAACUCCGUG